GCAGGCCAACAACUUCCUAUGGCCGUUCCAACUCAAGGCACCUUUGGGUGGACUGAAGAAGAAAAGGAAUCACUAUGUUGAAGGAGGUGAUGCUGGUAACCGUGAGAACUUUAUCAAUGAACUUAUUAGGAGGAUGAACUAAGAGAGUUGGAAAUUUUGCUAUAUUAGGAUUGAGAACUUUAUCUCAACUUUUUCAGACCCUUUUGGGUUAUUGAAGUGAUAAACAGCUUCAGAUUUUCUGCCUUCAUUUUGAGAUUGUUUAGAGUUAUGACAGUAUACGACAAUGAUGAUGUUUUUUUCCGCAGGGAACAUAUCUAAUGUCAAAU
rnacentral:misc_RNA from 1 species